rnacentral:rRNA from 1 species
UACGGAGGAUCCAAGCGUUAUCCGGAUUUAUUGGGUUUAAAGGGUGCGUAGGCGGCUUAUUAAGUCAGGGGUGAAAGACGGUGGCUCAACCAUCGCAGUGCCCUUGAUACUGAUGAGCUUGAAUACACUUGAGGUAGGCGGAAUGUGACAAGUAGCGGUGAAAUGCAUAGAUAUGUCACAGAACGCCAAUUGCGAAGGCAGCUUACUAAGGUGCAAUUGACGCUGAGGCACGAAAGCGUGGGGAUCAAACAGG